rnacentral:misc_RNA from 1 species
CCGAGCGUCAUUUUAGCUUAUCAAGCCUCGCUUGUACUGGGGUACUGCAUCGCUGCAGGCUCUCAAAUAGAGUGGCGGGACCGCUGUGUGCCGAGUGUAGUACCAUUCUUGCUCUAGCUCAACAGCGGCCUCCAGCCGUAAAACCCCCUCUUCAUAACCAGCUUGACCUCGGAUCAGGUAGGAAUACCCGCUGAACUUAA